AAACAAACUGACAGGGCCCAUUCCAUACAAGAUUGGUGAAAUGAAUUUGCUAGAGACUCUUGACUUGUCAAGCAAUCAACUUUCUGGAAAAAUACCAACGAGCUUGACUAAUUUAUCAUUUCUUGAUUAUUUGGACUUGUCAAACAACAACUUGUCUGGUUGCAUUCCACUUGGAACUCAGUUACAAGGGUUCACUGAUGAGGCUUAUAAGAGGAAUCCAAAUUUACGUGGGCCUCCACUUUUAACCAAAUGUCAAAGCAUUAAACAAGCAGGAAAUGAUGAUGAUAAUAUUGAAGAAGAUAAACACCUGAUUUGGGACUUUGGUUUCUUUGUGAGUAUGACUCUUGGAUUCAUUCUUGGAUUUUGGGGAGUGUGUGGGACGUUAAUAUUCAAACGUUCUUGGAGACAUGUGUAUUUUCAAUUUCUAGAAGACAAAAUACACAAUAUUUACAUUGCCAUUGUAUUCUUUGGAGCCAAAUUGAAGAGGAGCAUGGGAACCAGAUUGAAGUAAAUGGAAGUACGUACACAGUUCAUUGGAGUACUUUCACAUCAUUCUAAAUAAAGAAGUUCAAUCAUUUUGUGCGUGUGUAUAUUAUAUAUAAUACCAUUGCAAGAACAGUGUAAUUUUAAUUUAAGAGUUGUGUGUUUUUUAUAAUUGACAUACUGUAGAUGGUGUUUUCGAAACUAGAAGAAGUGUUUCAGAUAUAUAGUAGUUCAGGGGUGAUCAAAACUAGAAAAAGUGUUUCAGAUAUAUAGUAGUUCAGGGGUGUUUGUAACGGUAAUUCUGUAAUAUAUUCUCUGUAACAUUCUUGGUA